rnacentral:rRNA from 1 species
UACGGGAGGCAGCAGUGGGGAAUAUUGCACAAUGGGCGCAAGCCUGAUGCAGCCAUGCCGCGUGUAUGAAGAAGGCCUUCGGGUUGUAAAGUACUUUCAGUCGUGAGGAAGGUGUUAAGGUUAAUAACCUUAGCAAUUGACGUUAGCGACAGAAGAAGCACCGGCUAACUCCGUGCCAGCAGCCGCGGUAAUACGGAGGGUGCGAGCGUUAAUCGGAAUUACUGGGCGUAAAGGGCACGCAGGCGGUUAAUUAAGUUGGAUGUGAAAUCCCCGGGCUUAACCUGGGAAUGGCAUUCAAGACUGGUUAGCUAGAGUCUUGUAGAGGGGGUAGAAUUCCAUGUGUAGCGGUGAAAUGCGUAGAGAUGUGGAGGAAUACCGGUGGCGAAGGCGGCCCCUGGGACAAAGACUGACGCUCAUGUGCGAAAGCUGGGGAGCGAAACAGGAUUAGAUACC